rnacentral:misc_RNA from 1 species
AAAUAAUAUUAUAUCUAGUUGUAAUUCAGGUACCUACCCAAUAAAAUAAUGCAUUAAAUCAUGUGAUUCACUUUGAAAGAAAAUUUUUAAGUUAUGCACACUGUAUUUUACAUUAUUGUAAACAAACACGUUAGUUUGUUUAUAUUGAAAGGAAAAUAAAAGAGAUCACAAUGGUAAAACUCACACAUGCGCUCACCCUUGAUACCCCGUUGAAAGUAUUCAAUCAGACAAAAAGUAAGGUAGAAGGGAUAGAGUCUUCUAUUAUAAUCGAAAAAUACAUUGAUGAAUGCAAAAAUAAGAUCGCCGGAGGGCCAUUAAACAUCGAGAGCAUUGACAUUAACUGCAAAGUAAAUGGCAUUGAACAUCACACGAGUUUAUAUGAUAUUAUGUUAAAAGAAAACCCUGUACUAGUUGUGAGAAGAGGUGCGCCAUUUAGAAUGGUUAUUAAACUCGAAAGACCCUUAAUUACAGCAAGGGAUUCAAUUUCUUUUACAUUUUUUGUUAAAGUGAAAGAUUGUGAAUUUGCUAAAAACUCAAAUGGGAUGGAACAAUGCUUCUUACUCUUGUAUACCAGUAGAAUUAUACCAAUUAAGAAAACUGAGUGGAAAUCUAUCUGUGAUUAUGUUUCUCCUGAUGGGAAAACACUUUUCAUACAAGUUUUUGUCCCGUCUAAAUGUAUAGUAAAUAAAUGGAAAUUUUGCGUGCAUACUAGACAUGAGAACCAUUUUGUGAAAUAUCCCUAUAAUGACGUCAUGUAUGUACUUUUCAACGCCUGGUGCCCAGAUGAUGAUGCUUAUUUGCCAACGGAAGAAGAACGGGAAGAAUACAUAUUAAAUGACUUUGGCGCUUACUUUACGGGUACAGCAAGAGCUUUUGAUUUAAACAGAUGGUAUUUUGCCCAGUAUGAGCCAGGAAUGCUCGAUUAUGUCUUUUACCUAUUAAAUGAUGUAUUACAUCUUCCCCACCAUGAUUGUUGGAGUAUUUUAUCAAUUGUAAAAGCAUUUUCAAAUGAAAAAACAGAAUCAUUAAUCAUAGACUGUCCUUGGACUAGCAAUUACAGAGGUGGAACAAACCAAAUGAAAUGGCCAGGAAGCAAACUCUUGUUGGGCCAGUUUUACAAAACUAAAAAACCAGUCAAUCUAGGGCAUUGUUAUGUCUUUAACUGUCUACUAGUUUCAGUUUUUUUUUUAGUAUUCAGAGUUCUUGGAAUUGCAGCAAGGCCUGUGACUGGUUUUAACGUCUAUAAUUCUAUUUCAACAAAGAAUGUCCUAAUAGCAAACAAAUUUAUAAAGGAUUCAGGGGAGACGAUACCAGAAAUGUCUGAUGAAUUGAGCUGUCACUGCAACUGGGCAGAAGUUUUCAUGAAACGCCAAGAUAUUGGCCAUGAUUACAAUGGGUGGCAAUGGAUCGCUAGGCCUGAAGGGCCGACGUCAAUUGCAAGCCUGAAAAAGGGCGAAUUGGAAAAGCCUUAUUCUGGCCUCCUGUCAUACUUCACUCUUCACCCCUUGAUACUCAUCUGGGUGUUUUCGAUGGAUUGUCAAAAAUUAGUUCAGCACAUAUCUCAAGAUGCUAAAAUAGUUACCAAACGGGUGGGAAAGUGGUCAGAUCAGGAUAUUUCAGCAGAUUAUUUACUUGAUGAUGGUAAAGGAAUAAAUGCAAGUAUUCCAAAUCCAUUACUUCCUUUGUUUGAAAGCAGCACUGAAAUUUCAAUAUAUAAAAACGAGGAAGAACAAAUACAAGACAUAACAGGUUCAAUUAAAAUGAAAGAUGAGAAAAUAAUAGGCGAUUCAAUACUAAUCGAAUGUAAAACAGAAAAUUCGGGGGAGUGUGAAAAAUUUGUCGACGUUUAUGCAAGACUUGAAACGAUCCUGUUCACUGGAAAAGUUUACCAAGUUGUAAUGACAAAGAAGGAAAAAAUUCAAGUCCCUCCAUUCGAAAGUAAAUAAUUACAAGAAACAUAGCGUAAAAGUUCUUAUCAGAAUUGGGAAGAUUGUUGCUCACACUUUUACCGUGUUAGUCGAAAAAGAUGAAUAUUUGAAGAAGCUCACUCCGGAAUUGCUUUUCAAGUUUGUUUUCUCUGUCACUGCCGAGGGCCAAACGGGUAGACUGUACGAAGAAGUGCUAUUCAGAUUAGCGCAUCCCAAACUAUUUCUUCGACUCAAAGAAAAUUAUCCAGUGGUUCAACAGUUCCAUACAGUAAUCGUUGACUUCAUCAACAUGCCCGCAACGUUUAAAAACACUCGGCUUAUUCUUGAAGAAAUGAUUAACAACAAAAACGUACUGUCAUUCAAAAAACUCUC